UUCGCAAUGCGCGAGAGCGCGACGAGGGAACCCCCAGUGCUGGCACUAAGUGUCAGCUGUUCGGGUGCCUAACACCAUCCGGAGGAAGGGCUGGGUAAGACGGGUGCCAGCCGCCGCGGUAAUACCCGCAGCCCAAGUGGUCACCGAUAUUACUGGGCUAAAGUGUCCGUAGCCGGCCUGGCAAGUGCCCGGGUAAAUCGGAUCGCUUAACGAUCCGAAUUUCGGGCGUACUGCUAGGCUUGAGACCGGGAGAGGCCGAGGGUACUCCAGGGGUAGGGGUGAAAUCCUGUAAUCCCUGGGGGACCGCCGGUGGCGAAGGCGCUCGGCUGGAACGGGUCUGACGGUGAGGGACGAAGCCCUGGGGAGCAAACCGGAUUAGAUACCCGGGUAGUCCAGGGUGUAAACAUUGUGGGUUUGGUGUCGGGGGUCCUGCGAGGGCACCCGGUGCCGAAGCGAAGGCGUUAAGCCCACCGCCUGGGGAGUACGACCGCAAGGUUGAAACUUAAAGGAAUUGGCGGGGGAGCACCGCAACGGGAGGAGCGUGCGGUUUAAUUGGAUUCAACGCCGGAAAGCUCACCGGAGAAGAGUGGCAGAUGUGGGUCAGGCUGAUGGCCUUGCCCGAACGUCACAGAGGUGGUGCAUGGCCGUCGUCAGCUCGUACCGUAAGGCGUUCUGUUAAGUCAGAUAACGAGCGAGACCCUUACCCGCAAUUGCCACCCGGUCCUUCGGGAUUGGAGCACAUUGCGGGGACCGCUGGUGCUAAACCAGAGGAAGGACAGGGCAACGGUAGGUCAGUAUGCCCCGAAUUCUCCGGGCUACACGCGCGCUACAAAGGGCGGGACAAUGGGUAUCGACGCCGAGAGGCGAAGGUAAUCCCGAAACCCGUCCGUAGUUUGGAUCGAGGACUGCAACUCGUCCUCGUGAAACUGGAUUCCGUAGUAAUCGCGCCUCAAAAUGGCGCGGUGAAUAUGCCCCUGCUCCUUGCACACACCGCCCGUCAAACCAUCCGAGUUGGGUCCGAGUGAGGCAGCUCUUCGUGGGGCGUC
rnacentral:rRNA from 1 species